CCUACGGGUGGCAGCAGUGAGGAAUAUUGGUCAAUGGACGCAAGUCUGAACCAGCCAUGCCGCGUGCAGGAAGACGGCUCUAUGAGUUGUAAACUGCUUUUGUACGAGGGUAAACGCAGAUACGCGUAUCUGUCUGAAAGUAUCGUACGAAUAAGGAUCGGCUAACUCCGUGCCAGCAGCCGCGGUAAUACGGAGGAUUCAAGCGUUAUCCGGAUUUAUUGGGUUUAAAGGGUGCGUAGGCGGUCGGAUAAGUUAGAGGUGAAAUCCCGAGGCUCAACUUCGGAAUUGCCUCUGAUACUGUUCGGCGAGAGAGUAGUUGCGGUAGGCGGAAUGUAUGGUGUAGUGGUGAAAUGCUUAGAGAUCAUACAGAACACCGAUUGCGAAGGCAGCUUACCAAGCUACUUCUGACGUUGAGGCACGAAAGCGUGGGGAGCAAACAGGAUUAGAUACCCGAGUAGUC
rnacentral:rRNA from 1 species